GAUGAACGCUGGCGGCGUGCCUAAUACAUGCAAGUCGAGCGAACAGAUGAGGAGCUUGCUCCUCUGACGUUAGCGGCGGACGGGUGAGUAACACGUGGAUAACCUACCUAUAAGACUGGGAUAACUUCGGGAAACCGGAGCUAAUACCGGAUAAUAUAUUGAACCGCAUGGUUCAAUAGUGAAAGACGGUUUUGCUGUCACUUAUAGAUGGAUCCGCGCCGCAUUAGCUAGUUGGUAAGGUAACGGCUUACCAAGGCAACGAUGCGUAGCCGACCUGAGAGGGGUGUCGGCCACACCGGAACUGAGACACGGGCCAGACUCCUACGGGAGGGAGCAGUAGGGGAUCUUCCGCAAUGGGCGGAAGCCUUGCCGAGCAACCCCGCGUGAGUUAUGAAGGUCUUCCGAUCGUAAAACCCUGUUAUUAGGGAAGAACAAAUGUGUAAGUAACUAUGCACGUCUUGACGGUACCUAAUCAGAAAGCCACGGCUAACUACGUG
rnacentral:rRNA from 1 species